UUAAAACUGUAAUAUAUUGUUAAAUUUAAAAUAUGGAAGAAAUGUGGCAAUUAAUUUCUUAAGAAAAUGAUGAAGCUUGUUUAGAAAUUAAAGCAAAUGGGACAAUUAGAUACAUAUACAAAUAUUUUAACUUUUAAUACUAUACCAUACUGUAUAUAUUUUUGCAAAAUAAUUUCUCAAUGAGUGUUGUAAUUUGACCCACAACCU
rnacentral:lncRNA from 1 species